GGGACAACAUUCUAACAGGGUCUCAAAAUUAAUGACUAAUAUUAGUGCUUUUCCAUGAAAAGUGCAUUUUCUGAUUUGCCUGAUCCGUUGGCCUUUUGUCAGCACUUACAAUGGUUUGGACUGUAUUACUCUGUGUUUGCUGAUGCUCUUAGCUGUGUGAGAGCUUCCAGCCCCAUGGCUGAGCCCCAGCACAGGGGGUCCCAGCACAUGCCUCUUGCAGAAAUAGCAUCUACAUCUAGCUUGUCUGACCUCAUCUGCAUCUUCUCCCACCAGCUCUAAAAGCAUCAUCUCUGUGGUCCACGUGGCCGAAUUUCAGGUCACCCCCCGUGUUGGCUGCAGACAAGAAUUAAAUGGAAGGAAAACAGAAACCAUCCAGAGGGAAAGAGGAGGUCCUCCGUCUUCAGUUCACGUGACAGCGCGCUUCUAAGAUAAGCAUGACCCUGGUAAAGAUAGAGUGUGAACCCAGGUUUCCUUGGCCUCAAGGUGAAAGCAAAUGCAUCAAUUUCAUUGAGCAGCUGGGAACCCCCAUCUAGUUCUCUCCUGCUUUGCCCUCCAGACCUGAGUGAUGGACAGACUCUGACACGGAGCAACAUGCAGAGUCAGCAGUCUGACCCUGAGUACUUCCACCAUGGGAUGUCCGAGCUGAAAGGGACCUUAAAAUGGUCCCAGGUGGACCUAAAAAUCAGUCCAACUUCCUCAUUGAAAACAAAUACAUGAAAGGUAAGACAGAGCUGCCCAGCGGAGCCUUCAUCCAAGAAAACAGAACUGACAGUAAGGACUAAGGAAAUUAACUUUCCACGCACCCUACAGUUUUGAAAAGAACAUUCUUAUCCAAUUGCUAUGAAA